rnacentral:rRNA from 1 species
GAAGAAAGAGGGAGGCGUGCUUAACACAUGCAAGUCGAACGGAAAGGCCCUGCUUUUGUGGGGUGCUCGAGUGGCGAACGGGUGAGUAACACGUGAGUAACCUGCCCUUGACUUUGGGAUAACUUCAGGAAACUGGGGCUAAUACCGGAUAGGAGCUCCUGCUGCAUGGUGGGGGUUGGAAAGUUUCGGCGGUUGGGGAUGGACUCGCGGCUUAUCAGCUUGUUGGUGGGGUAGUGGCUUACCAAGGCUUUGACGGGUAGCCGGCCUGAGAGGGUGACCGACCACAUUGGGACUGAGAUACGGCCCAGACUCCUACGGGAGGCAGCAGUGGGGAAUAUUGCACAAUGGGCGGAAGCCUGAUGCAGCAACGCCGCGUGCGGGAUGACGGCCUUCGGGUUGUAAACCGCUUUCGCCUGUGACGAAGCGUGAGUGACGGUAAUGGGUAAAGAAGCACCGGCUAACUACGUG